rnacentral:lncRNA from 1 species
CCGCCGUCUCCUGGGCUCACAGGGCUGCCCCGUUGUUGCUGGGCUGUUUUGUCGGCUGAUUUCCUUGUGCAUUGCUCCAGGACCUUGAGUUGAAAAUGCAAUGUGGUUAAUUAUACAGCUAAUGAACUCUGGGGCAUUUGCUUUCUUAUUCUCUCUCUCCGGGUGAUGAGUGGAAAAUGUGCCGCAUAACAUCUUUGCCCUUGGGGAGUGAGUUACCGUUAAAGUCAGAGUUUUGAAAGGCAACAUUCGUGAGAGGAGCAUCUGGAGUUCUUGGCUUUCUUGCAUCCAGCACAGCCACAGAACCUAAGGGGGCAGAGGAAGUUUUUCUUCCCCUACAGAACUCAAGCAGCAAACCCAGCACAUCGGCCUCUCCUGGACGUGCUCGAGGGUCAACAAGUCUUGAUGUAACCAGCAAGCAGAGCGGGGGCAGAGGCCUGUGGCCUCCCUGGGUGUGUGGCAGAUUCUCAAGGAAUCUGCGGGACUCAAGGCAGAUGAGCACAGACAAGAG